AACGAACGCUGGCGGCAUGCCUAACACAUGCCAGUCGAACGAGACCUUCGGGUCUAGUGGCGCACGGGUGCGUAACGCGUGGGAACCUGCCCUUAGGUUCGGAAUAACUCCCCGAAAGGGGUGCUAAUACCGGAUAAUGUCUUCGGACCAAAGAUUUAUCGCCUUUGGAUGGGCCCGCGUUGGAUUAGCUAGUUGGUAGGGUAAAAGCCUACCAAGGCGACGAUCCAUAGCUGGUCUGAGAGGAUGAUCAGCCACACUGGGACUGAGACACGGCCCAGACGCAGACGGGAGGCAGGAGGGGGGAAGAUUGGACAAAGGGCGAAAGCCGGAUCCAGCAAUGCCGGGUGAGGGAAGGAGGGUUGAGGGUUGAAAAGGUCUUUUACCAGGGAUGAUAAGGAGAGACCGGGGGGAAAAAGCCCGGGCGAAUUCGGG
rnacentral:rRNA from 1 species